rnacentral:rRNA from 1 species
UACGUAGGGUGCGAGCGUUAAUCGGAAUUACUGGGCGAAAAGUGUGCGCAGGUGGCUUCGCAAGUCGAGUGUGAAAUCCCCGGGCUUAACCUGGGAAUUGCGCUCGAAACUACGGAGCUGGAGUGUGGCAGAGGAAGGUGGAAUUCCACGUGUAGCGGUGAAAUGCGUAGAGAUGUGGAGGAACACCAAUGGCGAAGGCAGCCUUCUGGGCCAACACUGACACUCAUGCACGAAAGCGUGGGGAGCAAACAGG